AACGAACGCUGGCGGCAUGCCUAACACAUGCAAGUCGAACGAGAUCUUCGGGUCUAGUGGCGCACGGGUGCGUAACGCGUGGGAAUCUGCCCUUUGGUUCGGAAUAACAGUUGGAAACGACUGCUAAUACCGGAUGAUGACGAAAGUCCAAAGAUUUAUCGCCAGAGGAUGAGCCCGCGUAGGAUUAGCUAGUUGGUGUGGUAAAGGCGCGCCAAGGCGACGAUCCUUAGCUGGUCUGAGAGGAUGAUCAGCCACACUGGGACGGAGACACGGCCCAGACUCCUACGGGAGGCAGCAGUGGGGAAUAUUGGACAAUGGGCGAAAGCCUGAUCCAGCGAUGCCGCGUGAGUGAUGAAGGCCUUAGGGUUGUAAAGCUCUUUUACCCGGGAUGAUAAUGACAGUACCGGGAGAAUAAGCUCCGGCUAACUCCGUGCCAGCCGCCGCCGUAA
rnacentral:rRNA from 1 species